UCCAUAUUUUUUGGCAUAUGCCAUUUUUUACUUUUGGGUAUCUGUAAACUUUAAGCAUAGAUCCUAACCAAUGUGUCAUCAAUGAAAAAUCGGAACCCUUAAUGGUGGUCACAUUCAUUUAAACAUUUCUAUUUUGCCAGCCUUUAAACCAUUGUCAUGUUUCUGUUGGGUGGUUGUUUACACAGAAGCAAGUGAUUAUUUACUUAAAUUGAGACAGGAGGUAAUGCUCCAAUAAUGGUCUUUGUGUUUGAAACAGAGAAUGAAACAUGUAAGCAUUUCUGCUCAUACUCUGCUUGGAGAAUCCCUUUUAAAAAUAAAAGUAAAGCAAUGCAAAAUAAAAAAAUUACUAUUUUUAUUUAGUUUUACACUGUUUUUUUUCUAAAACAUUCGCAGAAGAAGUCAAUGUUUUUCCAGUCAGCUGAACAGUUAGCUUCGGACUCCAGAACCAACUAAUCUGGAUUCACAAUAAAUGAAGAUGCCAAAAGAGUUAUCUACUCUGGAAAGAAACACAGAAGAGAGAGCUGUCAUCUUUCCUCUGCCAACGGGAUAUAUAUAGCAAGUAGGUUCUCUUAAAAGUCAAGAUGAAAACAUUUGCUUUGUUUUCAGUGCGUAGCUGUAACACGGCUUUGAAACCUGAAGCAGGGAAAAGAUGCUCCUUCAUGUCUCCCUCAGUAAGCAGGAGAAUAACGAACAACAAGAAGGUUCCUCUGAAAUGCCUGACCUAAUAUUUGACAGAUCGUCAAGAGAUUUGUAUCCAGGGACCAAAACCAGGUUUACAGUCAAGAUUCGCUCAUAUUAUAUUUUAUUGUAGGAUUUUAUUGAGUUUCUUUAUACGGACCACCAAUAUAAAAUGAUCUAAACUGAUUUCUCACGUUCUUUUCUGAGCUGUCCUUUACUUUAAACAAGGCACAGCCAAUCAAAGCCAGUCCUCGCUUCCUAACCGCUGGAGUCAGACUCACACAGCCGUCCUGCAGCAAACCGCCAGCAGUCAUAGCAGAGCCAUUGCACUCUGUGUCCAUAGUGCAAAUGCAUCACACAUUUGCAAAGCUGUAAAACGCUAUUGAUCAAUGCUUUCCACGCUCACAAUACCCACUCCUGAUUCACAACAAGGAGUUGUGAGUGAGAUGAUUUUAUACCCAAAUGUGACCAAGCUGUACCAAAUGGAAAUUCGACUGCAGUAGCCACUGUUCAACUCAAGGAGGGCAGCCUUAAGCUGGUUUUAGGCCAAAUAUUGCAGCAUUAGACAAAUUUACAAGAAAAUGUUGCAAUUUGAUCAGAAACCAUAAAAUAGCACCCUUCAGGACUUAUGCAAUUUAUCUGCAAAAUGUUGAUUUGGGACUUAGUUACUCUAAAUCCCAAGCUGUCUUGAGUUGACCCCCUUUUUCAGGGCUAAGUACUUCUCUUCAAUAUAUAUUUCCCUAACUGUAAAUCCAAGUAAUACUACAAAAAUGCAAUGAAACAUAAAUCACAUCAUUGACCAUCAUAUAACCUAAUAAAAGAACAUUAAACAGCUGCUGUCAAGAAGCUGUUCAUAAUGAAUUAUGACAGGCUUUCAUUAAUGUUUCCACUGCACUUUACUGUCUACCUGCUGUUUUUGUAUACCUAUCUGUGCACUCGGGUCCUCAUUUUAACCUACAUUUCUGACAGAGGCUGCAAAUGACUUAAGACUAGGGCUGGUUCACUUUCCAGCAGGACAUUACCUUAAACAAACAGCCAGAGCUACAAUGAAAAAGGUUAGAUUAAAGCAUGUUAAUGUCUUAGCCCAAUAGAAGAACAGACCUAAAAUUGAACAUCAUCCACACUUUAUCAUUGCUGUUCUCCUUUCAAUGUGAAUGAGCCUGAGAUCUUUGGAGUCAAAGAAAAGUGUAGAAAUUACACUUUCUACAUAGCUGGUAGAAACUGUUAGGGUACGAGUACAGAUGCAUGUCACACUUUUUUUUCCGUAAAAGCCAUGUAUCAUUUCCCUUUCACUUCACAGCUAUCCACUUCUUCAUGUUGGUCUAUCUAAAAUCCCAAUAAAAUACAUGAAAAAUACAUGGCAAAAUGUGAAAAAGCUCUAGGCGUGUAAAUUUAAUCUUGCAAAGCAUUGUAACUCAUCUGUUCAUUUUGGUAGCUCUAUAACUUACUCCAGUUCUUUUUUUCCUUUCUUCUUUUUGCAAAGCCAGCUGCAUUAGUUGGCAGGUGAGAAUGAAACAAAAAUAUUGAUUCAGGACAAACAAGUAGCUGCUGACUGCCUGACUAGGCAGAACUUUAAACGUAAACAGAAUAAAAAUAGCAGCAUUGAUUGUAGCAAACAGCCACUACCACACUGACGUGGACACAACUGGUAAGUAAAUAAAAUGCUCUGAUUCAAAUAUAAAAUGAAGGAGCACUGUUGGGACUGUUUGUUAUGUGUCACUUUAGAUUUGCUGAGUAAAUCCCUGCGCCCCAUCCCUUUACCUUCUCAUAAGGCUCAACAUACCCCAGUUCUCAGAGGAGCUAAUCUCACUAAGUAAUCUUAAAGAUGCACGAACACGGAGGGGGAAAGUCCUGGCUUCGGAACUUAAAGAUGCACAACACAAAACUCCAAAUACUGUAUGCAUGCAUUUAUUAAUCCUUUCUGGCAAGUAAUCUUGCAAUGUUUAUGCACCGGGCUAAUCUUCAUUUCCUCUGCUGGGGGACUGAGGACGAGACGCCCACUUGCAGGUAAGCCUCGUUCCCAAGUGCCGGCCAUAGCUGCUAAUCCUAGUUCCAGAUAUGGAUGAGACAAACUGGAGAAACAGAGAGGGGAUUUUAAUGUUGACAUGUGUUUGCGUCAGUUUGGAUGCGUGACUGGAAAGCAGACGACAACAGAAAAGCAGACUUUGAUGAGUUUUAAAUGUCAGUGAUUUAUGUUUUUAAACAGGUCAAAAUGUCAAAUCUUUAGACAUGUUACUGUCGGUUUAUUUGUAAAGUAAAAUUUUGUAUCAAUAUACAGUGUCAUUGCUACAUUAUGAUUGCAUAUAUUUCAAUAGGAACAUAUAUGAUAGACCAAACAAACUAGUGAACUGUUUUAUAAUUAAAAGGGAAAGGUUUGACACUGUUUUGCAUAUAAAAAUGCAAAACAUUUGCAUCCAAGGGAUGAAAACAUUUGCAAAAUGACUCAAACUCUGUAAAAUAAGACAGACUCCACACAACAUAGUUUGAAUUUAGAUAUGAACUGUCACCAGGUUAUUCUAACAAUUCAAGGUUCCUCCCCAAGGCAAGUCGAGCACAACCCUCAGUUGCUUACUGGUAUUCAUAUUCAAAAUAUGUGUCUACAUUGUAACUACGACUGAGUGACUGUAGCUUUAGUGUGAAGUGCGUUGAGCGGUCUGUGCAGCCAGAAGAGCCAAUUCAAGUUAAGGACAGUUAUCUAAAAGAGCUCCAUUGUAGUUUUGGCUUUAUGCUUCAGGUUGUUGUCCUGCUGCAAGGUGAACCUUCACCUCAGCCUGUAAUAGGUUUUCUUCAGAGUUGACCUGUAUUUUGUGGCAUCAAAGUAAAAAGGAGUCAGUACAAAUUCAACACUUCAGAGAUUUCCGUCUUAUAAAAACAUUUUAUGUUGUGUUGGGCUGUUCAAUAAACACCUAAAUAAAAAUACUUUGAGGAUUGUGGUUGUCGUGACAAAAUGGCAAAAAUGUCAAGUUGCAUACUUUUGGAAAUGAACUAUAAAGGAAUAUUACCUAAUCCAUCAAGUUUGGGUCUGGUUCUCUUAUGUAUUAUUUUACCAGUUAAAACGACAUUUUGGUAGAGGAUUUUGCCUUAAUUACAUUGAGACUAAGCCUAAAUACUUGAAUGGCGUGCACAAGUGUAACCUUCUGACUGGAAGGUUUGUGUGGUGAGUGUGCUGAGGAUGUGUGUGACACAGACAGACACCGAGAGGGCAGCCUUCCUGACUCCAGAGGCCCAGAGGCUUGCUGACCUAUUUCUGCCUGAGACUAGCUGCUUCAUCACAGACAGUCACCAGCAGCAGCACCUGGACUGUGACUCUGUGUGUGUGUGUGUGACUGUGUGCAGGCGUGAACACACAUGUAAGUCAGGUAUUGCUGUACAUCGCUUUGUUGCUCACUGAUGUGAGAAUACGCUCAUUCCCUCCUCCUGUCUCCUUUCCUCACUCUCCAGCUUUUUCCUAAGGCAGCACUUUCCACUCUCUCACACACACCUGGACCUAUGCACACACACAAACGCAUCCACGGCUCUCGCCUCUUUCAAUCUCGCAGGUGCUGCCUGCUGUGAUGUCCAGUGUUGAGUGUAGCUGUAUAUGCGUUCGCAGCGGGACCAUCCACGCACGUGCUCCCUCACACGAGCCCAGCUAGCGCGCACACACCCACACGUAUCUUGGAGCAUUAAAUGUGUUCGCAGCAGGGUAAACCUGAUUCAAACAGCUAGCCAGAAAGCCUAAUGAUUGAUGAUGAGAGUGGAAUAACCGCAGCCACAGCAAAAUCACACAAACAGGUUAUCUGGGACCUUGAGGCCCUGAGCUGCUUUAGCAUAGCAGAGGACCAGCGCUUUGAAAUGUUACAGACAAAACCAAAGUCCUGCACGCAUCAUCCAAUGUGGGCACAGAUUGUGGCAGUUUUGAUACAGGUCACCAUAUAGCAUGGCCUGGCAUGGGAGGCACUACUACUACUCAAAAAAGAAUUGUUUGUUGUGACCCCAACACAUCAUCACCAGGACAGUGGCUAACUAAAUCUAGGUCUAACCAAGCUUAAUAUCGAUUUAUAGACUUGAUCUGGGCAUCUCUUUUUAAAACUUAAACUUGAAAAUAAUGUCUUAGCUUAUGAACAUGGAGCUUCUGAUGAUGAGCUUUUAAUUUUAAAAUUUAUAACUUGUCUAAAAGCUGGACUGGAAUUAGCCUAAAUUCUAUAUAUUUCUAACCUGGCUAUAACAACAACAAAAAAAAACCCCAACAGUUUCUGUCUAUGUAUUUUUUUUAAUUUAAUGGUUAAAUAAUACAAAAAAACAUUUAAUUUCUAAUAUAAGUUACAUAAUAUAAACUGCUUUUUACAAAAUGGCUCGAGGGGGUGACUCUAAGCCAAGCGUUGCCUAUCCCUAACCUUGCAUGUUAAUGCUCCUGCCUCUUUCUCCCUCUGCUUCUUUUGCAGGUACUUUGAGACAACUUUUUGCUGAAGUGCUGAGGUGGCAGGCAGGUAAGCAGGCACGUCAGCAGCGGGGCAGAGGUGCUGUUAGUCUGAUGAGCAGUAAAGCUGUCAACACCAGAAUAGCUGGGAGGAGAUGCAUUUGCUCUUAUGUUUACCAAGCUAAAAUCCAGUCUGCCUAAUAUACACCAUGUUGUGCCAAAUGCUACAGAACCUUUACAAGCCACAUUCUAAACUUUAAAGAGUGAAAUAUGAUGUGGGGUGAAGCUCAACUCUCACAAGUCGAGGCAGCCGUCGUACAUCUCCUGCUGCGUUUGGAGAGCAUCCUCGGCUGUCGAGGACUGGAUUUGUUGUUGCGAUAAACCAUGAUGAAGGUGUUUCUCUCGUACCAAAAAGUGUGAUUGGAGUCUUUCCCACUGACGUAAGCCUGAGAGGAGCGUUCUCAAAGAAAGCAGUGAUGUAAUGGAAUAUGAAGGUACUAGUCAGUCUUCUUUUUCCUUCCUCCCUCCUCCUCUAUGUCUCUUUUUCUCCCUCCCUCCUCUUCAUUUCUGUUCUUCUCUUUGUUUUUUGUUUUCUCUCGCUCUUUCUAUUUUUUGUCUUGGCAGCCUCUCCUGCUUUUACCCCUCCGGGAUCCCUGAAACCAAACCCAACAGCUCCCUCGCUUGGUGGAAACACGAAACUACGCCAAGUGUCAGCUGCUGCUUGUGUACUCUCUGUCUUCAUGUGCACAUACCUUCCAUCUGUCCACAAGUAUACUGCUGCACAUUUCUCCUCGCCAUUUCAUUUCAUUGUGUAAUAUUCCAUUCAGGAUGCCAGAUUGGUCCUUCAAUGAAUUGUUAUUUUCUAGACACAGGCAGCUCCUCUGUCAUUGUAACUGCCAAAAGCGUGAAACAUUUAUUGGACUCAAGUCCCCACUAAGGAAUCCAACGCUAAUGCUUCUCCUUCACCUCCCCUCCUCUUCUUGUCUUCCGUCCUUGUUCUCCGUCUUCAUCAAAGCGAGGAGUCACCAGCUCUCUUUGCCUCUGGGAGACCCCACAUCGAGACACACUUUCUGUCCCAGCCUUCUCUGAAGAUGCAACUGAGAAGAAAACAUUAAAGUUCUCUAACAGCUCUGAUGUUUCAUGGCGGGGACAUAAAGACAGAGCUUUUUUUCCUCAAUGACUUUUGUGACUUUCUGUCUUAUAUAUACUGUAUAUAAAACUUUAAAACAUUCA